CUUGAUUGCCCCCUACAGGUGUUGGCUGUGUGUUGGUAUGGCUUGCUCUGCGUGUUUGCUCUGGAGAAGGACACAUCUUCAUUCUUUUGGUAUGGGUUGUUCGCUCGACACAGAGAGAGAAAAAGAGAGAAAGAAACAGUAUUUCAAAUUUUGAUCGCAAGUCGCUGGGAUAGGAAGAAGAAGAAGAGACGUCCAAGAUUUUGGUCGACUUUCGGAGCAAAGUUUGGGUUUGUUUCGGAAAAGGUUGCUGCUAGAAUUUUGAUCGAGUUUGGGAGGAAGCUGUCAAUAGAUUCUCUUCUGUUUUUCUACAGCCGUGUUCUUCGGGAAGCAUCUGUUUACACCAACCUCCACUGGUACAC